rnacentral:lncRNA from 1 species
GGACCGUGUCCGUGAACGGGAGCGGGAGCUGGAGAGGGCCGUUGCGGCCUUUCGAGAGGUAGCGCUGCAGGAACGCAUUUUUGUUUAUGAACAGGAUGCCCAGACUGCAGUGAAUAGUGAAUCGAAUUACAACCUUAGAGGCCGAGAAUCAGCGUUUGAGGGAUCAGGCUACCUCUUUCGGCCUGGCUCGCGACCUGUGGACGUUUGCCGAGGCUCAGCUCAACGUGUACAAGUGACUAUGGGAGGUCGGCAUUGUGCCUGAAACCUCUUAUGAGGAAGCCUGUCAAAGGC